AUUGAACGCUAGCGGGAUGCCUUACACAUGCAAGUCGAACGAGUGGCGAACGGGUGAGUAAUGUAUCGGAACGUGCCCAGUAGCGGGGGAUAACUACGCGAAAGGGAGGCUAAUACCGCAAACUAUUGGACCGGCCGAUAUCGGAUUAGCUGGUUGGUGGGGUAACGGCUCACCAAGGCGACGAUCCGUAGCUGGUUUGAGAGGACGACCAGCCACACUGGGACUGAGACACGGCCCAGACUCCUACGGGAGGCAGCAGUGGGGAAUUUUGGACAAUGGGGGAAACCCUGAUCCAGCCAUCCCGCGUGUGCGAUGAAGGCCUUCGGGUUGUAAAGCACUUUUGGCAGGAAAGCGGUACCUGCAGAAUAAGCACCGGCUAAGUACGUGCCAGCAGCCGCGGUAAUUC
rnacentral:rRNA from 1 species